AUUGUGGGGAAUGUUGUUUGGCUCGAGGAUUCUUCAAUCUUGAUCAAAUUCUUACUUUUUUUUAUGGAUCUGUAUAUCAAUAUAGAUCUAUAAUAUUGGAUCAUUUUUUUUGGUAUCGUCGGACCAGGCUUCAUUCCCCUCAAA
rnacentral:pre_miRNA from 1 species